GUUUUGUGUGCCCGCCAUUUUAUCCAGAAUAAUAUUUUUUUUCGCUGACAAUUUUAUUGCAAAAACGACGUGAUUUUAAGCAGUUCCGCGUCGCCGCUGCUACAGCGAGAAUGGAAGGAGACAUUUGCGACUACUUGGGAACGACGGAUUGGCCACAAGAAUCUAUCGAAAACCAUUUGCUUCAGUAUAUGAGGACAACGAUUCCGGUAAUUCUCCGAGUGACGGAGCUGUUGGGGGUGCUGGAACUUCCAGUGGUUCCUCGUCCGAGCUUCCUCCACCAAUUCGUUUGCCACCAGUUCCGCAACCUGUUGCAUGUCUGUGUCGACGGAAAUACUACGUAGACGCCGUAAAAUAUCAUCCGCCUUCACGAAAGAAAUUAAACGAUGCCAACAUGGAGGAAUUUCUCAAUCUGGAUGGUAGACUGAAAUAAGAAAAUCGUGCUCCAAAAAAGUAUUGCCUCAAUGGCCUAAUGUUCCUGUAUUAUAUUAUAGUUUAUAAACCGUAUCAUCGGUAAUAGCAACAGAAAAAUGACUAGAUACAAACGUUGAAAUUAUUCUGGAAAGAUUUACCUUGAGCCAUCUCUGAUCAACAGUGACAAAUCGAUGCUCAUCAGCUGAGCUAAGAGUAACAUUAUUUUUCGUAUCACGAACGCAACCACGGUGUGGCGAUGAGUGUGUCUCAUACUUUGUGUACAUCAACGUUGUUAAUGUGGACAAAUUACACUGUAACUGAGCGUCGGGAAGCAGUAAUUCGAACUCCAUGUUUGGACCAGAUUGGGCAGCCUAUUUUCGACAGUUUUUGGUCCAGAAAUCUCCGGUCAAUGCAACACAUACGGACAUCACACUACUGAUCGAUUUGCUAAAAUUAGCCUAUAUAUUUGGUUAUUACAUAGAACCUUCGGACAUGAAAA